AGCAGCCGCGGUAAUUCCAGCUCCAAUAGCGUAUAUUAAAGUUGUUGCAGUUAAAAAGCUCGUAGUUGAAUUUCGGGGUUAGUAGGUUGGUCAUGCCUCUGGUAUGUACUGGUCUCACUGAUUCCUCCUUCCUGAUGAACCGUAAUGCCAUUAAUUUGGUGUUGCGGGGAAUUUGGACUGUUACUUUGAAAAAAUUAGAGUGUUUAAAGCAAGCUAACGCUUGAAUACAUUAGCAUGGAAUAAUGAAAUAGGACGUUCGAUCCUAUUUUGUUGGUUUCUAGGAUUGACGUAAUGAUUAAUAGGGAUAGUUGGGGGCAUUAGUAUUCAAUUGUCAGAGGUGAAAUUCUUGGAUUUAUUGAAGACUAACUACUGCGAAAGCAUUUGCCAAGGAUGUUUUUCAUUAAUCAAGAACGAAAGUUAGGGGAUCGAAGACGAUCAGAUACCGUACGUAGUCUUAACCAUAAACUAUGCGACUAGGGAUCGGAU
rnacentral:rRNA from 1 species